UCGGGAAUAUUGCGCAAUGGAGGAAACUCUGACGCAGUGACGCCGCGUAUAGGAAGAAGGUUUUCGGAUUGUAAACUAUUGUCGUUAGGGAAGAUACAAGACAGUACCUAAGGAGGAAGCCCCGGCUAACUAUGUGCCAGCAGCCGCGGUAAUACAUAGGGGCAAGCGUAUCGGAUUAUUGGUGUAAAGGGUGCGUAGAUGGAGGAGCAAGUUGGUUGUGAAAUCCCUCGGCUCAACUGAGGAACUGCAACCAAAACUACUUCCCUUGAGUGUCGGAGAGGAAAGUGGAAUUCCUAGUGUAGCGGUGAAAUGCGUAGAUAUUAGGAGGAACACCAGUGGCGAAGGCGACUUUCUGGACGAUAACUGACAUUGAGGCACGAAAGUGUGGGGAGCAAACAGGAUUAGAUACC
rnacentral:rRNA from 1 species